UACGUAGGGUCCGAGCGUUGUCCGGAAUUAUUGGGCGUAAAGAGCUCGUAGGCGGUCUGUCGCGUCGAUCGUGAAAACUUGGGGCUUAACCCUGAGCUUGCGGUCGAUACGGGCAUGACUGGAGUUCGGCAGGGGAGACUGGAAUUCCUGGUGUAGCGGUGAAAUGCGCAGAUAUCAGGAGGAACACCGGUGGCGAAGGCGGGUCUCUGGGCCGAUACUGACGCUGAGGAGCGAAAGCGUGGGGAGCAAACAGG
rnacentral:rRNA from 1 species